rnacentral:rRNA from 1 species
UACAGAGGUCCCGAGCGUUGUUCGGAUUCAUUGGGCGUAAAGGGUGCGUAGGCGGCGGGGCAAGUCUGAUGUGAAAUCCCGGGGCUCAACCCCGGAACUGCAUUGGAUACUGCCUUGCUUGAGUACUGGAGAGGGAACUGGAAUUUACGGUGUAGCAGUGAAAUGCGUAGAGAUCGUAAGGAAGGCCAGUGGCGAAGGCGAGUUCCUGGACAGUGACUGACGCUGAGGCACGAAGGCCAGGGGAGCAAACAGG